CCUACGGGUGGCAGCAGUGGGGAAUAUUGGACAAUGGGGGGAACCCUGAUCCAGCCAUGCCGCGUGUGUGAAGAAGGCCCUCGGGUUGUAAAGCACUUUCAGUGAGGAAGAACGCCUGGUGGUUAAUACCCAUCAGGAAAGACAUCACUCACAGAAGAAGCACCGGCUAACUCCGUGCCAGCAGCCGCGGUAAUACGGAGGGUGCGAGCGUUAAUCGGAAUUACUGGGCGUAAAGCGCGCGUAGGUGGCUUGAUAAGUCGGUUGUGAAAGCCCCGGGCUCAACCUGGGAACGGCAUCCGGAACUGUCAAGCUAGAGUGCAGGAGAGGAAGGUAGAAUUCCCGGUGUAGCGGUGAAAUGCGUAGAGAUCGGGAGGAAUACCAGUGGCGAAGGCGGCCUUCUGGACUGACACUGACACUGAGGUGCGAAAGCGUGGGUAGCAAACAGGAUUAGAUACCCUAGUAGUC
rnacentral:rRNA from 1 species